rnacentral:lncRNA from 1 species
CGUAACAGGUAUUGACAGAAAUAGAGUUAAACUCACAAACUGGUUAAAUUUCCAAUUAAUAAGAUCUAAAUUGAAUAACAGAAGUCAAUCUCUGAUUUAGAUACUCACAUUUGUAUAAAACAAAGGUUAAAGGGGUUUAAAGGGAAUAGAAACUCUUUUAUCCUUAGGUCUCUAUGCCACCAAGGGAUUCAAUGUAAUACAUAAUUUGAAGCUGAUUUUAGUUCCUGAUCCCAACAUCCCGUGGAAAGAAAAAUCAUUCUGCAUGAAUGUUAUUGACUAUUUCUCAAUUUGGUAAAAUUUGAGGAAUUUAAGUGAAUAAAAUUAACAAAGGGUAAGAAAAAUUACAAAUUGGGGUGGUAUGCUUCUGCCACCCCUUCUCUCACAUACCAUCCCGUACAUACUAAAACAGAGGCAAGAAUAUUGACAGUAAUGACUUGAAACUUUGACAACCUGUGAAAAAUAAAUCUUACUUGUAUAUUCUAAGUACACUUUGGGCCAGAUGUAAAUUGUAUUAGUUGAAUUUCAUGAUUUGCUUGUUCCCUUACUCCUUUGCAAAAACAGUUUUGGCUUCACUUUUCCAAAUGUACGGCUCUCCCUGUUUAUCUUCCAUCUUCAAAACAUUUCCUCCUAGUGCACCAGGGAUUGUGAUCAGAGAUCCUUCAUUGUAUUGCUGCCAGUAAACUGCUUCGUAUUUAGGGAAUAAACAUGGAGUAAAAGAUAACAAGGAAUUGUAGCUAGGGUUCAAAUAAGAAAUAGGGAAAUUCUGUUGAAAAUCAACUCCAUUGUUUCUUGUAAUAAUUACUUCUUGCCCCAACAAAUUACAAUAGUAUGGAUGAUGCACCAGCUAAUAAAAUUUUCAUAGUAGAACUGUUAUUUAUGUAGGGAUUCAUGUUACACUGGACUUUCACUUGGUUAAAAAAAGAUUUUGGGGGCUGGAGAUUCAGCUCAGUGGUGCUGCCGCCUGUCUCGCAAGCGCAAGGUCCGGAGUUUGAUCCCUGGUACCAAAAAAAAAAAAAAAAAUCCGAUUUUUACUUCAAUCAGUAUAGCUAUCAGUAGGAAAAAGAAAAUUUUAAUUGUGUUAUUUUGUCAAGGGCUGAAAGCCUUAGGACAUGUAAUUUUGGCGUUGCAUUUCUGCUAGCAUUUUGAUUAAAUUGAAACUAGGUAAUUAGUGGUGCCUGUUUUGAUUAACAAGGUAAGUGGAAUUAAGAAUAAAAAGCCCUGGGAAAGGGGGGAAAAAAACACAUGAAAGAGUUUCAACAUUUUCAUAGUUGUUUUUUUUUUUAAAGAAAAAUGUAUAAAUACAAGCUACAAAUUACAAUAUUUAGAUUCCUUAUUAAAGAUAAG